rnacentral:rRNA from 1 species
AGGUUACUGCUAUCGAGGUUCGACUAAGCCAUGCGAGUCGAAUGUAGCAAUACAUGGCGUACUGCUCAGUAACACGUGGACAACCUACCCUUAGGACGAGAAUAAACCCGGGAAACUGGGUAUAAUACCCGAUAGUCCUCGAAUGCUGGAAUGCAUCGCGGACUAAAGCUCCGGCGCCUAAGGAUGGGUCUGCGGCCUAUCAGGUAGUAGUGGGUGUAGCGUACCUACUAGCCUACGACGGGUACGGGUUGUGAUAGCAAGAGCCCGGAGAUGGAUUCUGAGACACGAAUCCAGGCCCUACGGGGUGCAGCAGGCGCGAAAACUUUACAAUGCUGGAAACAGCGAUAAGGGGACCUCGAGUGCCAGGUUACAAAUCUGGCUGUCGUGAUGCCUAAAAAGCAUUGCAUAGCAAGGGCCGGGCAAGACCGGUGCCAGCCGCCGCGGUAACACCGGCGGCUCGAGUGGUAACCGUUAUUAUUGGGUCUAAAGGGUCUGUAGCCGGCCGGAUAAGUCUCUUGGGAAAUCUGGCAGCUUAACUGUCAGGCUUUCAGGAGAUACUGUCUGGCUCGAGGCCGGGAGAGGUGAGAGGUACUUCAGGGGUAGGGGUGAAAUCUUGUAAUCCUUUAAGGACCACCAGUGGCGAAGGCGCCUCACCAGAACGGACCUGACGGCAAGGGACGAAAGCUAGGGGCACGAACCGGAUUAGAUACCCGGGUAGUCCUAGCCGUAAACGAUACUCGCUAGGUGUCGGCCACGGUGCGACCGUUGUCGGUGCCGUAGGGAAGCCGUGAAGCGAGCCACCUGGGAAGUACGGCCGCAAGGCUGAAACUUAA